GACGAACGCUGGCGGCGUGCUUAACACAUGCAAGUCGAACGGUAAGGCCCUUCGGGGUACACGAGUGGCGAACGGGUGAGUAACACGUGGGUGAUCUGCCCUGCACUUCGGGAUAAGCCUGGGAAACUGGGUCUAAUACCGGAUAGGACCACUGCCUGCAUGGGUGGUGGUGGAAAGCUUUUGCGGUGUGGGAUGGGCCCGCGGCCUAUCAGCUUGUUGGUGGGGUGAUGGGCUACCAAGGCGACGACGGGUAGCCGGCCUGAGAGGGUGACCAGCCACACUGGGACUGAGAUACGGUCCAGACUCCUACGGGAGGCAGCAGUGGGGAAUAUUGCACAAUGGGCGCAAGCCUGAUGCAGCGACGCCGCGUGAGGGAUGACGGCCUUCGGGUUGUAAACCUCUUUCAGCACCGACGAAGCGCAAGUGACGGUAGGUGCAGAAGAAGGACCGGCCAACUACGUGCCAGCCGCCGCCGUAA
rnacentral:rRNA from 1 species